GGUUUUAUCAGUCCCAAACACACACAGGAAUUCCGGUUUGGGAAUGACCGUCCGAUUCCCAGCUUUCACAGGAAGGCAAAUAAAAAGCAGCUCAUCGUUGGGAAAGGCGUCUCAUUUUCCUGCAGUGCGGCUCCAGGCUCAGAGCUCACACCAAACCUCACACCAAACCCCACACCACUUCUCCGAACCUCGGACCAUCGACCCGGCUUCGCACAUCUGGAACAUCUGGAUCAGGAGUACCUGAGCAGAUGAACAUGAUGUGAGAGAAACUGGCCUGCUUCCCAGCUCAUUAUUACUUUUGGUACGCGCUAGGCCUGCCUCAAACUCGUACCGUGAGUAAUAAUGCACUGUGGCAGGCACUAAGCAACCAGACACUACAGCCACAGCUAUGGUGUCGAGUAAAUAAAAAGGAGCAUCAUGAAGAUCAUCAGUCUGCAUUUUACUAUUUGUGAUUUUUACUAUUUGACUAUGCACUGUAUAAAAUGGCAGUUCCUAAUUAUAUAGGAGAAAGCAAUGGUUUAAUAGUUUGUCAUGUUGGGACGUAUGGCCUGUGCUUAUUCAGCUUUGGUUUUGCUUGCAGUGACUGGUCAAAUGUAUUAUAUUGUAGAGUUCAACACAUAAUCAUAUUAUUAUUAUUAUUAUUAUUCAUUAUUUUUAUUAUGAUUAAUUAUUAUUAGUAGUAGUAGUAGUAUUAAUGUGACACUAUCUGUCAUAAACACAUAUGUCUUAGCUGUUUGGAAAAUAUUUUUUAUGUUUGAAUAAAUAUUUGAAUCAUUCGGA